rnacentral:lncRNA from 12 species
CUCAUUUUUCACUUGGAACGCUCAGCUAUUUCUUAUUGAUUUGCAAGAGGCUCCAUCCAAUUUUAAUGAAAAGUUUAAAUCCCCGACGCAGCUGUCAGAAAUGCUGAUGGCUGCAGUUCUCUGCAGAUCUAAUUGUUUUAAUAAGUUCCACUAAUGACUCAGAGGCUAAUGAAGGUGUAGAUCUGAUUGAUGGAGCUUAGAAAAGAGAUGUAAUUAGAAGUUUCCUCUCCCAGUCAAAAGAGCCAACUAUAUUUAUCAGUUCGACUUCCUACUUUUCUCCUAUUUUGAAAAAUGCAUUUAAAUAUAUCCCACUGGUCUUGGCAGGGUGGCAGGGAGGACAUGAGAACCUCGCCUGGUUGUUAUAUAACCCUCCAAUUAAGUUAGGGUCUUAUCUCCUCUUUUAGGUUUCAUAUUCUGUCUUCAAAGUGGAAGCUUCAAAUCUCUUUGGUUCAUUUCUGCCUCUGCAGCCUCCAGAACCGGGAGCCAGGUUGUCACCUAGCAACCAGGGCUCUGCUUAUAGAAACAUGAGCCUCAGCCUGGCCCAGAGAGGAAAAUCACCAGUUGGAAUAAAAAGUUUUAGCUUUUAACUAGAGACCAGCCAGAGGCGCAGCACCUACUGAGAUAUCAUAGCCAAAAGUCCUCCCAGGGGAACCCCAGGUUUUCAGGACUCUGAUGCAGAGUCGGGGCGAGGAAUGUUUUCAGGUACAACCUCUGGACGCUUUGCUUCCCAACCUGUUGGAUGACAAGAAGGACCCAGCAGCAGCAGAGGAAAUGAGAGCAAGGACACAGUGAAUGCUCUGUGUAAAUGUUGUUAUAAGUACAAAAUGAAAACUGGUCAAUUAAAACUAAAUAAUUAGACUAAACAAGUAAAUCAGCAAAGUUACUGUUCAGUCAAUUGGGAAAUAUACUCAUACUUUCCUUGUAGGUAUUUUGGGAAGAUUAAAUGAGCUAAUGAUUCUGUUGCCUGUAGCAUAACACUCUUUAAAACAGAGGCUAUUGCAUUGAUUCAGACGGUGCCACCAGCCAGUCUGUUACCCAGAUCUAUCACCUGAGUCAACUUUGACCCCUGCCUCCUGCCCACUCUCAAGUCCAGUCAAAACCAAGAUUCCAACUGCAUGGUGACUAACAGAGCCCCAAGUGUGGAAAGGAAGAAAUUAAGACUGUCUUGAGAUUAAGCCAGGAAUUAGCUCAUGAUGGAGUGAACAGAAGUGUAGAGGCCCCAGAAAAAUCUCAGGCCCACAAAAGAAUCAGCCCUUU